rnacentral:rRNA from 1 species
ACUCCUACGGGAGGCAGCAGUGGGGAAUAUUGCACAAUGGGGGAAACCCUGAUGCAGCAACGCCGCGUGGAGGAUGACACAUUUCGGUGCGUAAACUCCUUUUAUAUGGGAAGAUAAUGACGGUACCAUAUGAAUAAGCACCGGCUAACUCCGUGCCAGCAGCCGCGGUAAUACGGAGGGUGCAAGCGUUACUCGGAAUCACUGGGCGUAAAGCGCGCGCAGGCGGCUUGAUAAGUUGGAUGUGAAAGCCUACGGCUCAACCGUAGAACUGCAUCCAAAACUGUCAAGCUAGAGUGUGGGAGAGGAAGAUGGAAUUAGUUGUGUAGGGGUAAAAUCCGUAGAGAUAACUAGGAAUACCAAAAGCGAAGGCAAUCUUCUGGAACACUACUGACGCUGAGGCGCGAAAGCGUGGGGAGCAAACAGGAUUAGAUACCCUGGUAGUCCACGCAGUAAACGAUGAAUGUUAGUCGUCGGGGGCCUAGUGUCUUCGGUGAUGCAGUUAACACAUUAAACAUUCCGCCUGGGGAGUACGGUCGCAAGAUUAAAACUCAAAGGAAUAGACGGGGACCCGCACAAGUGGUGGAGCAUGUGGUUUAAUUCGAAGAUACGCGAAGAACCUUACCUAGCCUUGACAUAUAUUAGAAUCUUCCAGAGAUGGAGGAGUGCCUUCGGGAGCUUUUAUACAGGUGCUGCACGGCUGUCGUCAGCUCGUGUCGUGAGAUGUUGGGUUAAGUCCCGCAACGAGCGCAACCCUCGUCACUAGUUACUAACGGUUCGGCCGAGGACUCUAGUGAGACUGCCUUCGUAAGGAGGAGGAAGGUGAGGACGACGUCAAGUCAUCAUGGGCCCUUACGGCUAGGGCAACACACGUGCUACAAUGGGCCAGGACAGUGAGAAGCGAUACCGCGAGGUGGAGCAA